rnacentral:siRNA from 1 species
AAGAGAUGAUGUGCUUAGAUUGUG